AUUGAACGCUGGCGGCAGGCUUAACACAUGCAAGUCGAGCGGGGUGAUGGUGCUUGCACUAUCACUUAGCGGCGGACGGGUGAGUAAUGCUUAGGAAUCUGCCUAUUAGUGGGGGACAACAUUUCGAAAGGGAUGCUAAUACCGCAUACGUCCUACGGGAGAAAGCAGGGGAUCACUUGUGACCUUGCGCUAAUAGAUGAGCAUAAGUCGGAUUAGCUAGUUGGUGGGGUAAAGGCCUACCAAGGCGACGAUCUGUAGCGGGUCUGAGAGGAUGAUCCGCCACACUGGGACUGAGACACGGCCCAAACUCCUACGGGAGGCAGCAGUGGGGAAUAUUGGACAAUGAGGGGAACCCUGAUCCAGCCAUGCCGCGUGUGUGAAGAAGGCCUUAUGGUUGUAAAGCACUUUAAGCGAGGAGGAGGCUCUUUUGGUUAAUACCCAAGAUGAGUGGACGUUACUCGCAGAAUAAGCACCGGCUAACUCUGUGCCAGCAGCCGCAGUAA
rnacentral:rRNA from 1 species